GAAGAAGAUAGGUUGACAAACCUAAUCGGACACAGAGGAACCCUAGAAUGGUGAAGGAAUCCCAGAUUGACCUAUGAAACCCUAAAAAAGAGGGGAAACGGGAUUUGGAUCGAUUAAUCGGUAGAAAUAGAGGAUUAAUCGGUGGAAAGUGAAGAUCUAAGGAUUUAAGGGUAUUUAAUCGGUGGAUUUUGAAGGAAAAUUGAAAUGAAGGAAAAACCCUAGGUUUUGAUGAAGAUGUUCGGUGAAACAGGCAGAGGAGAUGAAGACAAUGUUGUUUCUGUGAAAGAGAUGUCACUUACGAAGGAGAGCUGACGGAUCUGUGAGGAGGAAUGGAGUAGAGGUGACGAAACCCUAGCAGAGGUUCUGUUUCGUGGUAGAGGAAGACUCGAAUGACAUGUUUCGGAAAUGUGAGAGAAUGGUUUAGAGGAUGCAAAUGAGAUGCGCUGAUGUGUUGAAGCGCUGACGCAGGCAGAGAAGGUGUCAGCCAAAGAGUGGUUGAAAAGUUGAAGAUGUGGUGGAGGAUUAAUGGUGCAGCGUGUAUGAGAGAGAAAACACCGUGGAAAUGAAAAAUGAAAAAUGGAAGGGUGCUUGGAAGGUGGCUAGAGGGAGUCUUUGGACUCUCUAGCCUAUGACUUUCAAGAGAGAAUUAAUUCUGGGUUUCAGAAAUCUAAUUCUCAUUAAUCUCAAAAGUAAGGAAUACAAUGAGGAGCUGGGUAUUUAUAGUGACCCAAGCUCCUUACAAACUGCACUACUAAUACAAUGAAAUGUAAAAAGAGGACUACAUGAGAUAGGAUUCCAUCACUAACGCUUCACUCGGACUUGGGAGGAUGAUGUACGGUACGAUAUCUAAAGCGAUCGGUUAUAAGGAAUAGUCGAUCGGUCUUUGUGUCCGCUAGACCUUAAUAAGGUUAACUUUGCUUAUUGGGCUUGUAGUCCACCAAAAUCAUAAUCUUUCUUAUUGGACUUAUAAUCCAUCAAAAUUAAAGAUAUCUUAUUAUGUGGAGAUCAAAAUCAUAAUUUGUACACCUUCUUUGUCCUAUUUCUUCUAAGCUUUCUCUUCACCUUCUUUAUUCAUUUUCUCGGCCU
rnacentral:lncRNA from 1 species